UUUAUGGAGAGUUUGAUCCUGGCUCAGGAUGAACGCUGGCGGCGUGCCUAAUACAUGCAAGUCGAGCGAACGGACGAGAAGCUUGCUUCUCUGAUGUUAGCGGCGGACGGGUGAGUAACACGUGGAUAACCUACCUAUAAGACUGGGAUAACUUCGGGAAACCGGAGCUAAUACCGGAUAAUAUUUUGAACCGCAUGGUUCAAAAGUGAAAGACGGUCUUGCUGUCACUUAUAGAUGGAUCCGCGCUGCAUUAGCUAGUUGGUAAGGUAACGGCUUACCAAGGCAACGAUGCAUAGCCGACCUGAGAGGGUGAUCGGCCACACUGGAACUGAGACACGGUCCAGACUCCUACGGGAGGCAGCAGUAGGGAAUCUUCCGCAAUGGGCGAAAGCCUGACGGAGCAACGCCGCGUGAGUGAUGAAGGUCUUCGGAUCGUAAAACUCUGUUAUUAGGGAAGAACAUAUGUGUAAGUAACUGUGCACAUCUUGACGGUACCU
rnacentral:rRNA from 1 species